rnacentral:rRNA from 1 species
UCAAGUGAAUAAGCGCACAUGGCGGAUGCCUUGGCAACUGGAGGCGAUGAAGGGCGUAGUAACCUGCGAAAAGCACGGGGGAGCUGGUAAACGAGCAUUAAUCCCGUGAUGCCCGAAUGGGGAAACCCACCUAAUUUAUUAGGUAUCGUGCACUGAAUACAUAGGUGUACGAAGCGAACGAGGGGAACUGAAACAUCUAAGUACCCUUAGGAAAAGAAAUCAAACGAGAUUCCCUCAGUAGCGGCGAGCGAAAGGGGAUCAGCCGAACAAUUUGAAUGUAGUGGAAGAGUCUGGAAAGGCUCGCGAUACAGGGUGAUAGCCCCGUACACGAAACGCUCAAGUUGACGCAUUAAGUAGGUCGGGACACGUGUUAUCUUGACUGAAGAUGGGGGGACCAUCCUCCAAGGCUAAAUACUCCCAGUUGACCGAUAGUGAACAAGUACCGUGAGGGAAAGGCGAAAAGAACCCCGGUGAGGGGAGUGAAAUAGAACCUGAAACCGUGUGCGUACAAGCAGUAGGAGCUCCUUCGUGGAGUGACUGCGUACCUUUUGUAUAAUGGGUCAGCGACUUACUGUCAGUGGCAAGGUUAACCGAAUAGGGGAGCCGUAGAGAAAUCGAGUCUUAAUAGGGCGCAUAGUCGCUGGCAGUAGACCCGAAACCGAGCGAUCUAUCCAUGGGCAGGUUGAAGGUGCCGUAACAGGCACUGGAGGACCGAACCGUAAUCUGUUGAAAAAGAUUCGGAUGACCUGUGGAUCGGAGUGAAAGGCUAAUCAAGCUCGGAGAUAGCUGGUUCUCCCCGAAAGCUAUUUAGGUAGCGCGUCAUAUCUCACCCUCGGGGGUAGAGCACUGUUUGGGCUAGGGGGUCAUCCCGACUUACCAACCCCAUGCAAACUCCGAAUACCGAGGAGUGCAAUUAUGGCAGACACACGGCGGGUGCUAACGUCCGUCGUGAAGAGGGAAACAACCCAGACCGCCAGCUAAGGUCCCAAAUAUCAGUUAAGUGGGAAACGAUGUGGGAAGGCUUAGACAGCUAGGAGGUUGGCUUAGAAGCAGCCAUCCUUUAAAGAAAGCGUAAUAGCUCACUAGUCGAGUCGGCCUGCGCGGAAGAUUUAACGGGGCUCAAACUGAUAACCGAAGCUGCGGAUGCACUAUGUGCAUGGUAGGGGAGCGUUCUGUAAGCCGUUGAAGGUGAGUUGAGAAGCUUGCUGGAGGUAUCAGAAGUGCGAAUGCUGACAUGAGUAACGACAAUGGGAGUGAAAAACUCCCACGCCGGAAGACCAAGGGUUCCUGUCCAACGCUAAUCGGGACAGGGUUAGUCGGCCCCUAAGGCGAGGGCGAAAGCCGUAGUCGAUGGGAAACGGGUUAAUAUUCCCGUACCGUUUGUUGCUGCGAUGGGGUGACGGAGAAGGCUAGGCAAGCGUGGCGUUGGUAGUCCACGUUUAAGCUGGUAGGCAGAAGACUUAGGCAAAUCCGGGUCUUUAAUGCCGAGAAGUGAUGACGAGAUCCACUUGUGGAUUGAAGUUGUUGAUGCCCUGCUUCCAAGAAAAACCUCUAAGCUUCAGGUAACAAAGACCGUACUCCAAACCGACACAGGUGGUCAGGUAGAGAAUACCAAGGCGCUUGAGAGAACUCGGGUGAAGGAACUAGGCAAAAUAGCACCGUAACUUCGGGAGAAGGUGCGCCGGCUAAGGUGAAGGGUUUACCCCGUAAGCCACGGUCGGUCGAAGUAACCAGGCCCCUGCAACUGUUUAUUAAAAACAUAGCACUCUGCAAACACGUAAGUGGACGUAUAGGGUGUGACGCCUGCCCGGUGCCGGAAGGUUAAUUGAUGGGGUUAGCGCAAGCGAAGCUCUUGAUCGAAGCCCCGGUAAACGGCGGCCGUAACUAUAACGGUCCUAAGGUAGCGAAAUUCCUUGUCGGGUA